AGCAACUUCAGCUGGCAAGAAUGCACCAUACUUGUCAAAAUGAAAGCCACCAUGAUACUAGCAGUCUUAGUGAUAGCCACAAUGUGCGGAGCAGGCCAAGCUGGUGGGUAUUCUGGCAAAAGUUGUUACCAAAAUGGAGGUUAUUGCACUCAUUACACUUGUGAUUAUAAAGGAUACAUUUGCGACAGCACGAAUAAAUACUCCGAUUGUCCUAAUAUCAAAUGUUGCCUUCCUGAUCCACAUUACAUUAAGCAAAAACCAAUUGCAAGAAGUUACGGUAACAAAGGAUACUGCAGCAAUUUUAACAGUUGCCGUGCUGGCUACUACUUUUAUAGCAUGAGAGCAUAUCAUUGUAAUUCUUAUAAAGGAUGUUGUAUCCCUCGUGACCCACACGGUCAAGGAUUUUGCGCUGAGUAUGGCAGUUGUCCUGCAGAAUAUUAUUUCUGUAAUAACAAAGGCUACUAUUAUUAUGACAGCUCACACUACGUAGACUGCCAUGGCUACACAGGCUGUUGUCUUCCUUAUUAGAUAUGGGGGUAUGAUUCUUCGAUGAGAACCAUUGAAUUGAAACCAGUUUAUGCUAAUUAUCUAGAAUAAAAGUUUAGAUCCUA